AGAAAAGAGAACGCUGUCUGAGGUGGUGGCGCUGCGCGGUGUGGUUGCAUUCUGAGGUGUUUGUUGAGAGGAGCUUCCUCAAUCACCAUGUGACGCCUUCUACCAUGUUAACCACCCAGAAGGUUGUUAUGGCUUGAGUCUGGAUGUCUCCAAAAGCCUUGUGCAGUCAAAGAAAUGGGCUUCUACAGUUUGUGAAUGACUCAUAGUCCAAUACUGGGAUUAUGGGUUGUUCUUCUGCCAUGAUACCCUGCCUUAGAGCCAGCUGAGUAUGGACUAAAACCUCCAUAGCCAGUGAAGGGAGCAGUCAAAGCUGUGCAGGCUGGAGCAAGGUCAGCCUCAAGAACACAGAGUGCCUGAGGCAAGUCACCUGAAUAAGCAGCUAUGGCCUCAAGAACACAGAGCGCCUGAGGCAAGUCAUGUGAAUAAACUGCUCUAGGCUCAAGGACACUGGGGCCAGAGACGCCCUGUGGAGAAGCUGCUUGGUAGAGGGGCUUCACAUGAUGUCCAACCUCUUGGUAUAUAAGUAGACAUGCUCCAGCCCUUGGGGCCCUGCCUCCUUUUCCCUCCUCCUUCUUCCUGCUUCCUCUUCCUCCCUUCCUUACUUCACAUAUCAAGAGAGAGAACUCGAUCAGGCCUUUUUUCUGUAUUCUGACUCUUGUCUUUUUUCCUUCAUUCUCUCCCCAUUCUCACCCUUAGAGCUGAUUGGGACAUGGCAAUUUCUUACAGUUCUAGAGACAGGGAAGUCUAAUAUCAAGGUGUUGGUGUCUGGCUAGAGCUGUGUUUUUUUUUUAAAUUGCAUUAUUCUAUGGAAAAAGGCAAGAAAGUGAAAGAGAUAGAAUUGCCAUCCAUAGUAGGGUGUGAUGGCACACUCCUGUAAUACCAGCACUCAGGAGGGAGGUUGAGGCAAGAAGAUUGCUGCAAAUUCAAAACUAGCCUGGGCUACAAAGUGAGCCCAAGGCCACCAGCUGGAACUGUAUAGGGAGAACUUGUCUCAAAAAGAAAAAACAAACUCCCAUCCACAAAUUCUUUCCUGAUUUAUAUUAAUCCCUUUAUGAGAAUAGAACCCUAAUGACUUAAACAUUUCCUAUUUUUAUGCUAUUGCAUUGGGGAUUAAGUUUCCAAAAAGGGCUUCUGAGGUACUUAGGCCAUAGCAUAACUGAAGUGUCCAUUAAUAGAUGAAUGAAUAAAUGGAAUGUGAUAAAUGCAUAUAAUGAAAUAUUGUCAUUCAUAAAAAUGAAAUUCUGAUACAUGCUACAACAUGGAUGAGUCUUAAAAAUAUGCUGAGUGAAACAAGUCACCAAAGAUAAACAUUGUGUGCUUCCACAUAUAUAAGGACCCAAGACUGAGCCAAUUCAUGGAGAUGAAAUGUAAAUGAGUAAAUAUAAAAGUAAUAGUAUGUGCAUAGAAUUUAAAAAUUACAGAUGUCUCAAAAAAUUAUAGAUGUCUGGGUAUGGUAGUACAAGUCUAUAAUCCUAGCAUUCAGAAGACUGAGGCAAAAGGAUUAAGAGUUUAAGGACAGCUUAUUUUAUUAAAAACAAAUUAUAAAUCAUUACUUUUGGAUAAAGAUGGGAUAGAAAGAGAAUGGACAUAAGACUGCUUUUUUUUUUUGGUGCCAGGGAUCGAACUCAUAACCUCACGCUUGCCUCAUAUUGUGCCGCUGAGCUGACUGCUAUUUUCAUUAUAACACUUUUAGCACUAUUAUAUUUUUAAACUAUGUACAUAUAAGAGUUUAAUAAAAUAAAAUGAAUAAUUUUAAUAAAAAAUUUGACCACAUAAAAGAAUAGAUAUGAUAAAAAGGAUGAAAAUGAAGUAUUAAAUGUUCAACUAUCAAGAAUUAUAGACUUUUAUAGCUUUAGUGAAAUGAUCACUAAGAUUAUAUAUACAGCAGAUACUUACUGAUUGGAGGAAUUUCUUACAACAGAACCUUAUAGUUUUUUCCUUUUUGUAUAUGUUAAACAGUAUUUCUUUUAAUUGCUAUGUAUUGAGCAGAAGAAUGCAGGAUAACCGGAUAGAGUAUACCGUAUCUGGCAUAAAACUGCAGAGUUCAAAUAUCUGUAGCAUCACAUGGCCUCAGUAAAAAAGCUAUAUCAGAGUGGCAUCAAAGCAGCCUAUAUAAUUUGCAUAAAAUAGCUCUUUUUUGGGGGGUAGAAAUACAUACAUUCAGAGAAAAAAAUAAACAGUAAGAAAUCACUAGUUGAUGUUUACAUAUUUUCGUUUUACAAAUAGUUGUUCAAGAUACAAAAAUGGAACAUGUAAAGUGGGAAUUCAAACAGCAAGACUGCAAACAGUUUUGUUCAACUGUCCAACAAAAAUUUAGUAACAUGGUUGUCAAUCCUAUACACUUAAACAUACAUGCAGUUAUCUGUAUCUUCAUUUAUGUAGAGAUUAAACAAACUAAAGCAGGUUAAAAUCAUUCUGAACAAAGAAUAAUAGUAUUGCUGGAUUUCACAUCAUGACACUCUGUGAUCAGCACUGGGUACUGUAGUGUCUUUUUUUUAAUUUAAUUUAAAGAAAGACUAAACAAAACAAAAUGGGUAGAAAUAAUACAUAAUUUCCUUUUUUUUUUUAAUUUUUUUUUUUUUUUUUGUCUUUUUCCUUUUUAUCAGUACCGGGGAUCGAACUCACGACUGCCUGCUUGCAAGGCAGGCGCUUAUGCCGCUGAGCUAAAUCUCCAGCCCCCAAAAUAAUACAUAAUUUCAAAGGAAAAAAUAAACAGUAAGAAAUCACUAGUUGAUGAUUACAGAUUGUCUUCUUAUAAAUAGUUAUUCAAGAUACUAAAGUGGAGCAUAUAAAGUGGGGAUUCAAACAGUGAGAUUGCAACCAGUCCUGUUCAGCUAUCCAACAAAAACUUAGAAAUAUAGUUAUCAAUCCUAUACACUUAAACAUACAUGCAGUUAUACAUAUCUUCAAUUAUGUUGAGAUUGAAUAAACCCAAGCAGGCUAAUAGCACUCUGAACAAAGAAUAAUACUGUUGCUGGGUUUCACAUUAUGACACUCCAGGAUCAGCACUGGGUAUUUUAGUGUCUCUUUUUCUUCAAAGUAUCUGUUCAUUUCAUCAUGUGUCACAAGAUCAGUUCUCAUAAACUGUUUAUAGAUUCUACACAUGCAUGAAUCUUAACAUGUAUUUCUAUCCUUUCUAUACUAGAGGGAGAAACAAAACAAAGCAAGGCAAAACAAAACAUAUUCCUAUAAACACAUGAAAUGAAAUAAACAUAUAAGACCAUUAUACAGAGUUCUACCAUGGUUCCUGUGUUGUCUCUAGUUAUCUCCAAUAGAAUUGGCUAUAUCAUCAGACAUAGUAUAAUUGAAUAUAUCAGUACAUAACAGCAUUAAUAAAAACACAACUUUGUAUAUAGUAUAGAACUUCAAAAACCAGCAGUUAUGAAACCUGAAUGUGUAUUGUAGAGUCUUAUCAUCUUCAGUGUAGUUGCCUAUACUCUCAGACUUGAUACUAUCAAUCGUAUCAGUUUUGAAUAAAAUCUUCUCUGCCUCAUUUCUAUUAUGCUGUUUGUUGCCAUCAAUUGUCUGCUUAAGUUCUUCAUUCUGUUUUCUGCUCCAUUCAUUAAGGCCUCUCUGCCACUGUUCCUAGAAUCCUAGUGCUUUUCUCUCUCUCUAGAAUUCCUUGCAGUAUUCUCUGUAGAGUUGGAUUGGUGGUUGCAAGUUUCCCAAGUUCCUCUGUUGUUUGGAAGCAUCUUGUUUCUCCAUUAAUUUCUAGAGACAGGGGGCUGGGGAUUUAGCUCAGCAGCAUAAGCACCUGCCUUGCAAGCAGGCGGUUGUGAGUUUGAUCCCCAGUACCAGAAAAAAGAAAAAAAAAAUUUCUAGAGACAGUUUUUCGGGGUAUAUCAAUCUGGGUUUGAGGUUAUCUUCUUUCAGGGCUUGGAAUAUAUGCUCCAGGUUCUUCUUGACUUGAUGGUUUGUGUUGAGAAGUCUGCCGUUAUUCUGAUGGGCCUUCCUCUAUAAGUUAUCUGUUUCUUGUCUCUAACAGCUUUCAAUAUUCUGUUCUUAUAUUGAAUUUCUGGUGUAUUGAUUAUUAUAUGCCUGGGUGUAGCUCUGUUUUUGUUGUAGGUGACUGGAGUUCUGUAUGUCUCAUAUAUCAGAAUAUCAUUUCCUUUUCCUAUGUUUGGGAAGUUUUCCUUAAUUAUUUCUGUGAAUAACCAAAGGAACCUAGUUCCUUUGUUUGUACCCCUGCUUCUUCAUUCACAUUCUUUAUUCUCAAGUUAUAGAUCCUUUCGUCAUCUUCUAGCCCUUGUAUUGUUACUGCUUGUUUCCUUGUUAUUUUUAAAAAGUUUUCCCUUUCAUACUCCCACAUUGCAAAAUUGUCCUCCAGUUUGGAUAAUCUAUCCUUUGUUUCUUUCAAGCUGAUUUGCCAUCUUUCCAUAGAGUUUUUAAUUUCCUGGUGAUCUCUUUGAAUCUGCUUCAUGUAUUCUAUAUAUAUAUUUUUUUGUCUUUUUCGUUUUUAUCGGUACCAGGGAUCAAAUUCACGACUGCCUGCUUGCAAGGCAGGCGCUUAUGCUGCUGAGCUAAAUCCCCAGCCCUCUAUACUUUUUUAAUAUUCUUCACCAAAUAGUUUUAUCCUUUGUUUGAGUUCCUUCCUUCUGUCUGUGUCUGCUUGAGGGGUGCUUAGUGUUUCUUUUAUCAAUCUUCUUAUAUCUUGCUUUAUUUGGCUAAAUAUUUCACUUUUGAACUUGUCUAUUAGGUCCUUUAUAUAUCUCUUUAGGUCCGCUGUGUCUGAUAUUGCAUGUUUGCUGUUCUCAUUCUCCUUUGUAUUUCCUGUCCUGAGUCCAUGUUCUCAGGGUUGGAACCUGGGGACUUUUUGUUGUUGCUUCCUCUUCCCAUCUUUUUUGCUUCUUCCAGGAGGCCCCAGUUUCUUUCUUUGUUGGUUACAAUUCUCCUGAAGCACGCUGGCUAGAUGACCCUUCACACUGCCGUGUGCUAGUGAGUUGCAGACAAGGACAGCAUAUGCUGGCCCCUCCCCUCCGGAUCAGUCAAGCUCUUGUGGCCUGCAGUGUAUUACUUUGCGCUGCCUCCUCUCCAGAUCAGUCAAACUUCUGAGGCUUAACUGGGUUAGUGUGGUUAGUCAUAAAAUAGCUCUUAUUGAAUGUGUUUUAAUAAAAUCACUUUGGAAGGUUAAAUUAAUUAUGAAUCAAUCUCCUCAGUUCCCCUUCGUAAUAUUACAGCAUUUCCAAGCAUUAUAUAAGUUAAAAAUUGACAAUAUUGCCUUUGUAUGGAACACAGUAGUAAAUGAGAAGGCUGCUAAUGGCCUGGGGAGAACAAAGAUAACUUGGGCUCCAACUAUCCUAGACUCCAGCUGAUUGCAAUAAUACCUGAGCUGAUCAGUGUAUCUACAUACUGUAACCUAUACAUGGCACAUUGGUGAAAUUUAGCACAUCAUAGUACCUUGGUGUAUCAGUUAGGAAUCUCUAAUCCAUGACCUAAAUUAAUACUUUUUUUCUAAGAAAAGGAAGACCUAUAUUUGUAGAGGAAGAAAGGAAUUAAGUAAAGAAAAAGAACAAAGUUCUUUAGGAUGCUAAAGGAUAAUAUAAUGCCUAAAUUUCAUAUACCACAUACAUAUGAGAUAUGUAGUAAAUAUAUAAUGUAGUCUAUAUACAGUAUAUAGUACUAAAAUGCAUAUUCAGUAGUUUCAGAAAAAGGAAGGAACAAAGAAAACAGAUUUACUAUAUGCUGGGCCCUAUGUUGGGUGCUUUCAAAAAAAUAUAAUAAUAUAUAGUAGAUAUUGUUAUCCCUGCUUUAAAUUAAGGAAUAUUUUCUGAGGUAAAAUAACCAUGCACAUAUGAUGAUCACCCAGCCAAUAAGCCCUUCUUAUGAAAAUUUUAUAAACUCACAGUAAUUACUUUCAUCUGUUCACUGUCAUUCCUUUUACUGAUAAGAGAAGUGUAUAAUCUGAGUUUAGUCACUGUAGAAAAAUUACUAAAAAGUAUUAUAGGACAAAGGAUUUGUUGUAAGAAUUAGGAUUGAUUAAACUGUGGGAGGAACUUCAGAAGUAAAAGACCAUGAAAUAGUCACAUGAUACUCUGAAAAUCUAAGAUGUCCAGACAUUGAAGAGGGACUAAGGAUCAUACCUCUUAUAUAGCUGCAAUCUGGGUAUGGUAACCAAAGUCUAAUAGUAGACUUGAGGGUUUUUUUUUUUUUUUUUUUUUUUUUUUUUUGUCUUUUUCAUUUUUAUCGGUACCAGGGAUCGAACUCACGACUGCCUGCUUUACAAGGCAGGCACUUAUGCCGCUGAGCUAAAUCCCCAGCCCCUAGACUUGAGGUUUUUGUUGGUCAGCAGUAUAAACAGGAAAUAAAUGAAGCAGCCAUGGUAGCACAUAGCUGUAAUUUCAUCAUUCUGGGAGAUGUAGAUAGAAAGAGGGAAAGUUUGAAUCUAACCUGGGCAAUUUGAUGACUUUGUGAGACUCUGUCCCAAAAUUUUUUUAAAAAGAGCUGAGGAUGUAGCUUAGUGUAAAAGCUCUGGGUUUAAUCCCCACUACCAAAGAUGGAGGAGGAAGAGGAGGAGGAGGAGAAAAAAGAGAACUGGGUAUAAGUAGAGCAAGAUGUCAGCUACUGGUCACCUUUGCAUCUCUGCUACUGCGUUGAUUGCAUCCAUACGGUAAUGCCGCUGCUUCAUUUAAUCAAUACACAUUCAGAUGUACCACUCAAAAUCCUAUGCAUUGGAAGGAUUUCCUCUCACUGCUGUUCUUCAAAUGGAAAGUAUAAUUCCAUGAUGACAUAGUGAACUCCACAAAAGUCCAUGCUUUGCCAAGUUGGCACUCACACAUACCAUCUUAUGUAACUUGUAUCAUAUCAAAAUAGUCCUUCUGCUAUAUGUAACUUCUAUAUACAUAUCAAAACUGUCCUUCUGCCCAACAUGAUUCAGUUAUAUUUUACAACCAAAAACACACUAGUCCUUCCUGCAACCAAGACAUAAAUUCACCAUAUCCAUUUUUGAAGAUAUUAAUUUGUCUUUCAACUGAAACACACUCUCCAUUUAUUACUAUAUUUUAUGUUUUUUAUCAGUUAAAUGUGAAAAUGGAAAAAAGAAAAAUCAUUUAUAUCAAAGUAAGGAAGAAACAUUUCCUACUGUGAUCCCUUGAUCACAUGAUUAUAAAUGGUAUUUAAAACUUCUUUUUUCUACUGAUAACCUAAUAAUUCCCAACUGUUUUUUUCCUUAUCAUUUUGGACGAGUGCAAACCUGUACUUCUGAAGAGUCUUUUCCAUUAACACUGCUGACUUUAUUGGUUUGAUGUACUGUUUUCUUUCUUCUUUUCUCUUUCUUUCUCUCUUUCAUACUGGGAUUGAAGCUUUGCAGUAGGCUAUAUCUCCAGCCUUUUAUUUUGAGACAAGUUAAUGCUAAUUCACUAUCCUUCUGUCUCAGCCUCCCAGAGUGCUGGCAUUACAAAUGUGUGCCACUGGGGCUGGGGAUUUAGCUCAGCGGCAUAAGUGCCUGCCUUGCAAGCAGGCCGUCAUGAGUUCAAUCCCCGGUACCGAUAAAAAGGAAAAAGACAAAAAAAAUAAUAAAUAAAUAAAAAUAAAAAACAAAUGUGUGCCACCACUUCUUUCCUUAAUUUUUAUUACAGGGUCUGGGUAUACUAAGAGGAAUCCCCAGUGUAUUGCUUAUUUCAGUCAUGUUUCUUUAUAUCCAUUAUGCUUCAACAACCUACUUUCCCCUUAUGAAUGUUAAUUACUCUCUACAGUACAGUAAUUUUCUUUUGCCUGUUGGUUUACUAGCAUAUAGAGCCCCAAAAUACUAGGUGAUUUUCAGUCUAACAGAAUUGGUGUGUACACUGGUUGGAACAUUCUUCUUUUGGGUAUUAACCUUUGGACAGUGGAGUCCAAAGUUGGGGGAUAGGAAGAAAAAAAUUACCAGUGUAACAUUAAGCGUAUUUAGAAGAAGAUACACCAGGGUCCUUGAUUCUGGGACUCAUGAAUCCUAGUUUUGCCACUAAAUCAAAAUAUAUAAUGUAGGCUAGAAGAAAUUGCCUCAGUCCUGCAAAGUGUUGAGACCCAGCUGGGAUCAAAAGCCUUCAAAAUGCUUUCCUUGGCUUCUAGUUUCAGCUCAGAAGUAGAGGCUCUGCCAAUCAUAGUGGUGCAUGCCAGUAAUUCCAGGACUGGAGGCUGAGGCAGGAGGAUCACUAUGAGCUUGAAGCCAGCCUGGACUACAUAGUGAGUUCAAGACCAGCCUGAACUACGUAGCAAGACCCUGUCUCAAAAGUCCAAAAUGGAAAAGAAAGAGAGGCAGAGAGAGAAAAAGAGAGAGGAAAGAGGAUAGAGGAGAAAGGAGAGAGGAGAAAAGACUAUCACUCCCUCCUUACAAUAAGAAAAAUAAGAUGGACAAAUGCAUGCCUUUUCUUUAUUUCAGCAUAUAUGUUAUAGUUUAUAUUUACAUGUCUCCGCAAAGCCUCAUGUGUUUAUAGAUGGAACCUUUGACUGGAUGACUGGGUGACUGGAUUAUGCCAGUGUGCUACUAGAUUAGUCCACUGAUGGGUUUCUAGCGGGGGAGGGGAAAGGUGAUGUUGAGAGAUAAAGCAUGGUGAGAGAGGGUGGGUCACUGUGGGUGUGGGCUGGAAAUACAUGUAUCUCCUUCCUGCUCUCUUGAUUGCUGCUGCUUCCUGCCUCGCAUUCCCAUUUGGCCUGCCACCCUGCCUUGGAGUGAGCUGGCUAUAGAUUGAAACUAUAAACUAUGAACCAAAAUAAACCUUUCCACAUUUCACUUGGUGUUGAAUAUUUUGUCCCAGCAGUAACAAGAAAGUAGCUAAGACAAUAUGUAAGAUUAAAGGACAAACAAUAAACUUGAAAUCGGAGGACAGGAAGAAAAAACUAAGCUAAUCAGUUCUUACCUUGGGCUGAUACUUCUAAAUGCCUUCUAAUUUUCCAGUAGGGAAUUCAGCUAAUAAUUAUUUGCCAGAUUGCUGAACACCACAUAUAAGCCAUAGUGAUGGUAUGAAACUCCUACAAAACACAGAUAUGUAAGAGAUUUCACACAUUUACAAUCUUGUCCUCUAGGAACACAACCCUGCGCUCUCACAGGGAAGAUUAGGAAAAUCCUGAGAAUGACAACCUCACAGUGGUAGGGAGGAGAAAGGAAUGCCUGACAUUGCCUAAACACAUCUCUCCUAACUCGCUGCAAAUCAAAAGCCUUAAUUUGCAGUAGGAAAAACAACAAAAGCUGUAGGACAAAAGAAUUUUUUAUUCCUGGAGAAGGAAAAAGAGAUAUGUCUAAACCUUGUUGUAGAUCUGUAGGAAAUGGAAAAAAAGAACAUCAUACCUGAAUGCCUAAAUUUAUAGUGCCUGACUAAAGCUAUGAGUUAAUCUGAACACUACAGAACGUACUCUUUCUUACCCACCACGUUCAUGCUAAAAGCAAUUGAUUUUACAAAUAACAGUGAAGGGGCUGGGAAUUUAGCUCAGUGGCAUAAGCACUCCUUGCAAGCAGGCAGUCAUGAGUUGGAUCCCCAGUACCGAUAAAACACACACACACACACACACACACACACACACACAAAUAACAGUGGAGUACAGUUGGGGAAGUCAGAUUCUUCCUGAGAGGAAUGUGAAAGGAAGACCAACAUGAUCCAAAUUUUAAAAACAAUGAUGGAGUUGAAAAAAAUCCCUUUAAUGAGUUUAGUAAUGUUCUCAACACAGAUAAGCAAAAAUUAGUAAACUCAAAAUUAGGUCAAUAUCAAGUAUCCAAAAUAAAAACUCGGUGAAAAAGAGAAUGAAUAAAAAAAAAAAAAAGAUAUGAAAAAAACAUCAAAUGUUCUAAUAUCAACACAGUUCAAAUCCUAGAAAAUACUGCUAUCUGAAUAAAUAUCUGAAUACAUACUGGACAAAAGCUUUCCAAAGUGUGUGACAGCCACUCAGUCAUAGAUCCAAGAAACCCAGAGAAUGCCAAGCAGGAUAAUUAUCAAAAUCUCACAAUUUAGGACUUAUCAUUUUUUUAAAAGCUGCAAAUGAAAGACAAAAAUCUCAAAAGAAUUCUGAGGAAAAAAAAAAGACACAAAGUAAGAAAAGAUUAGGAUUUUAUUAAAUAUCAGAAAUUAUGCGAGUAUGAAGACAAUAGAAUGAUAGUCACUCCAAAAUGCAAUGCCCAAUAAAAGUGUGCUUUAAAAAUAAAAGUGUUCUCAGGGAAACAAAAACACAGAUUUAUUGCCAGAAGAAUUACUCUACUAGAGGUACCUUUUUAAAAAAGUUCUUAGAGGGGCUGGGGAUUUAGCUCUGCGGCAUAAGCAUCUGCCUUGCAAGUAGACAGUCGUGAGUUCGAUCCCUGGUACUGAUAAAAAAAAAAAAAAAAAAAAAAACUUAAAAAGUUCUUAGGGAAAAUUUAGCUCAGUGGUGCAGCACCUGCCCGGCAAGAGUGAGGUCCUGAAUUUAAUUCCUGGUACAAAAAAAAAAAAAAAACACAGUUCUUGGGGGACACAGGCUCUAGGAAGGAGUAGAGAGGGCAGAUUAAAGGUAACAAGUAAAUGGUUUGGAGUCUGAGGACUAGAGGCCAAGGUUCUAGAUGGGCAAAGAGGCAAGGUAAUCAAGUGGAAGCAGUUUAGAGCUGUGACAUGGGGUGCUUGGAGCUGCGACAUGGUGUGUUUGGAGAAGCUGGGAAGCAACUUUAGGGACAAGGAAUCUGAAGAUUAUAAUAAUUUGGAUCUUACCAGAAGCCUGAAUUCAGUACUCCAUAGUAUUGUGGGUCCUGAAUGUUUGGAGAACCCAAAUCAAGGGAUCUUGAACUCCAAGAUGCCAUAGCAGAGGGGGUACCAGGAAGCAUUCGAUAUUUAGGUCUUAGACCCAGAAUGGGAGUUUGGAAAUGAAGUCCACAUGUAUAUUUGGAAGUCAGGAAAAUUGGAGAGGGCUCUCAUUAGAGAAAAUGGGAGAGGGCCCUCACUAGAGAUACCCAGUCUCCCCAUGGGGUUAGAUGGGAGAACAUUUGUUGGGCUUGAGCACUGUGUUUGGACUUAGGUCUCUGGACACAAGGACAGUUUGGGGAAAAAUCCUAGAUUUUUUGGAGUCUUAGGGAACUGGGAGAAAGCAGAUUUAGAGCUCGAGUCAGGUUGGAGAGGUAUAUAAAAAAAAAGAAGAAAAGAGAAAAAAAAGAAAGAAAAGUUCUUCACAGAGAGAGAAUAUUAUAUAGUUUGGAAACUUGUACCUGUGCAAUGUCAGAAACACAAUAGAUGGAGGUAGGCAUGGUGGCACAUGCCUGUAAUCCUAGCAUGUGGAUGCUGAGGCAGGAAGAUUGCUGUAUUAGAGGCCGCUCUACUCUGCAGAGUGAGUUCAAAGGCAGCAGCCAAACUACAUAGCGAGACCCUGUCCCAAAAAAGAGCCAACCAAACCAAGAACAAUAAAUGAAGGGAAAUAUUUUAAUACUUUAAUUGCUGUUACAGGUAAUUAAUACAUAAAGCAAAAGGUCAUUGUUCCAUCCCAUCAGGUCAGUAUUUCAGGUAAUGGGAAAUGUGGUAAAACCAGUUAAUUCUAUGAGCAUGAGUGCAUCAACACAUUUCACUUACUACAAAACUAGCUCUUUUGUUGAUAGCAAUAUUCUUUGGUGGUUAUAGCUGGGUGUGAUGAUGCACACCUGUAAUCCUAGUACUUAGGAAGCUGAGGAAGGAGGACUGUCAUGAGUUUGAGCCAGCCUGCAUUACAUAGUGAGUUCCAGGGCAGCCCAAACUAUAUAGCAUGACCUUGUUCGUUAAAAAGGCUUUUUAAAAAAAUCUAAAUUUUAUUUUAAAGAGAAUAAAACCAAGCAAAAUAAAACAGAAUAAACCCAAUCAAAACAAAUCAGUGUAACACAGGACUUCAAAACCGUAUGAAAUCAACAACGUUACCAUAAUUGUUGUCUUCAAAAUAACUGUAGAUAACUUCAGACAUAGUAAAAAUCCAACAAAACAAAACAGAAUAGAACCAAUAAAAACAAAACAGUGAAUAAAGAACUUCACAACAAGACAAUAGUAAAUCCAAAAUGGCUACCAUAAUAUAUCUUGCUAUCUUUGAAAUAGCUGCCCAUGCCAUUGAACAUAACAGAAUCAAACAAUGCAAAACAGAAUAAAACCCAACUCAACAAAACAGUGAAAUGAUACAAGUCUUCAGAAUAAGAUAACAGGGAAUUAACAAUGGCUACCACUUCAGAAGGAGAUCCCCAGUAGAUGCCAUACUAUGUACCAUUAUCCUCUGAAUAGAUGAUGAGACCACCAGCCCUAGACCUGCAAAGUCAGUGAAACACAAAACACCACAAGCAUCAAACUGUAUUUCACCUGAAUAGCUAUCGUUACAGCCUGUGUUUCUCUGGAUCAGCCAGUGGCUUACAGGAGUGGGGAGAGGCAGGUGCCUCCUCUUGUUUCCCAGCCCACACGUCAGAAUGGGCUGGGGUCUGGCUGUCUGCUCAGCAGUGGUGGCCUGGGUAUGGUGCUGGUUCACAGUGAAGGCUUGCUUCUUGGUGAAUUCUUGUUCCAAAAAGGCUAUUUUUAUUGCACAAGAUGGUGAUAGAAGUUCAAGGACAGCAUGAACUAUAAAGUAUGACUGUGUUUCGAAAAGUAAACCAAAAAGUCAAGUAAAACAAAUGUGGAGGCCAACAGGGAAAAAGGAAAUCUACAUUGUUUGUGGGAAUCAAACAAGUACAACCAUUAUAGAAAUCAAUAAGGAGUUCCUUUAAAAAACUAAAAAUAGUGGCUGGAGAUUUAGCUCAGUGGCAUAAGCACCUGCCUUGCAAGUGCACAGUUGUGAGUUCCAUCCCGGGUACCAAAAGAAAACAAACAAACAAAAAAAAAAAAAAUAGAAAUUCCGCUUAGCUAUUCUCCUAGGUAUCUUCCUGAAAGAGUUAAAGAUAUCGUAUUACAGUGACGCAUGCAUACCCAUGUUUACAGCAGCACAACUCAUAAUUGCUGAAUCUUGAAAGUGGCCUAUAAACCCAUUAACAGAUGAAUGGAUAAAAGAAAUGUGUUUAGAUACAAUAGAGUACUACAGUGCCAUAAAGAAUGAUAAAUUUGAAUCAUUUGUAGAAAAAUGGAUGAAUCUUGAGAUAAUAUUAAAUGAGUUAAAUGAGACACAUAAACUUGUAUGAAGAACCCAAAGUAUAAAAAAAGAGAAAAGUACAAGAUUGAUAAUAGAAAACAGGGAAAUAGAUGUUUUGCAAAUGGGAAAUGGAUCAAGAAAUGGAGUGUCAGGGAAGAAGGGAAGGGAAAGGAAAAAAAUUAAGAUGUAUUAUGUAUAUAUACUAACUACCAUGAUGAAUGUAUUAAUUGUGUACUGCAAACAAGAUCUAAUAAAAAUAGUUUGAAAUUGA